rnacentral:lncRNA from 1 species
AUCUUCGGCAAGUACGGCGCGAUCCGCCAGAUUCGGAUCGGAUGCAACAAGGACACGAAAGGCACGGCCUUCGUCGUCUACGAGGACAUCUACGACGCGAAACAAGCCGUGGACCAUCUCUCCGGGUUCAACGUCGCGAACCGGUACCUGAUCGUGCUCUACUACCAGCACGCGAAGAUGAGCAAGAAGUUCGACCAGAAGAAGAGCGAGGAAGAGGUCGCCAAGCUGCAGGAGAAGUACGGUGUCUCCACCAAAGAUAAGUAAACACGUGUGUACUCGAUUCGAUUCUGCGAUUUAGGGUUUCAAUUGGGGAAAAAAAAAUCGAACCUUUUUUGCUUAAUCUUGGUAUGUAUGUUUGAACCAUUCAAUGAAAAAUUCCUCUUUUCAGCUCCAUGUAGCUAUUAAUGUUACAAAGUGUUGUGCUUUGAUGCAGUUGAUGAUCUGGACUGGUUAGUGUUUUGCUAAGAGGUUUAGUGUUCUGCGAUUUAGGGUUUCAAUUGGGGAAAAAAAUCGAACCUUUUUGCUUAAUCUUGGUAUGUAUGUUGAACCAAUCAAUGAAAAAUACCUUUUUUAGUUCCAAUUAGCUAUUGAUGUUACAAAGUAUUGUGCUUUGAUGCAGUUGAUGAUCUUGUAUUCAGCUUUGUAUCUUUGUUCAGGAGUGGUUAGUGUUUUUGCUAAGAGGUUAAGAACAUGUAUCACUAACACAUACAAUAGAAUUGAAAAAGAAUCUCUUAAGUACAUUAAGAAACCAGAAAAUAUAAAUGUACAAUAAAUCAAACACCUUCCCCCCAAAUCCUCAAUUAAUGAUUUUUUUUUCUCCCUGCUUGAGCCUUCUCAUCUCUUAAACGAUGUCCUCCUGUUUCAAUCAUUAGUAAUCCGAGCAUGCUUUUAAUUUUUGAUUGCCUCAUUGUUAAAAGGAAGAUGAUUUUUCUCUCGACUCAUGUUCUGCUCUCUUUUUGAUAUCUUCUCUCUUCCUCUCUACUUUCAACGUUUGGUGGUGUCAUUUAAACGAAAGGUCACGCCGCUUCUUUGGGAUAGGAUCAGGGUUUCCUUUUCUCAUCAUUGCCACGAACUCGUCGUAGUUUAUCCGACCAUCCUGCAUCAGAGAUUUUGGUUAUGUUAAUAAUGAGGUUGUUAGAUGCUUUGUUUCGGUUUGAAGGGGGAGUGUUGUUUUCUUACAUUGUCUCCAUCGACCUCUGAAAUUAUCUCUUUAAUGUCUCUGCCAUCGUUCAUCCCAAACUCCCGGAGGGCUUGUUCCAGCUCUUCCAUAGUAAUAUAUCUGGGAUCAACAAGCAUCAUUUGAGGUGUUCAUUUGGAUUCAUAGCAAGCUUUGUACUUCUGUCUUUGGUGUUUGAAGUAUGUUAAGAAUCAUUUAUAUACAGUGCUUACCCGCUGUUGUCUUUGUCAAAGUGUUGGAAGGCUGAGUAGAGAUGUUCUUCUCUGUCAAGUCUGUUGAUAUGCAUUGUGGCUGCGAUAAACUCACCAUAGUCUAUUGUUCCAUUACCAUCAGCAUCAGCCUGUUCCAUCAAGAGUAAAAACAGAAAACUAGUGGUGAGUCUGCUUCCUUGUUGCCAGCAUAUGACAGAGGGUAAAAUUGUUGUUAGUAAGCAAAGGGCUUACAGCUUCCAUUAGUUGCUGGACUUCGUACUCUGACAACCUUGUACCUUGCUUAGCGAGUCCCUGUCUUAGCUCCUCGAGUGUAAUCGUUCCACUGUUGUCAGUGUCCAUACCUUUAAACAUCUCCUUCAACCCCAUGAUCUCUUCCUCUGAUAAGCAGCCUGCUAUCACCCUCAAUGCAACUUUCUUGAAAUUGUUCAUUGCUUUGAAUUGCUUGAGCCUGGACAUCACCGCAUUGUCAAGAGGAACAUCUGGUGCUUCUCCAUCUUCCUUGAUCCAUGGAUGAUCUUAACAAAAGAGAGAGAAAACAUUAAUUAUCAUGGAAAGGGAUUGUUAUACUUUAUUGGUGUGUUUUGUAGAUGCUUACUGAGAACUUGAGCAGCAGUUAGUCUUUGCUUGGGAUCAGAGUUGAGCAUCUUCUUAACAAGAUCCUUCGCCUGAGGUGAGAUGGAUGGCCAUGGAUCACUUGAGAAAUCAACAUGGCUCUUUAAGAUGGCGUUGAAUAUCCCAUUCUCCGAUUCUAUAAUCAUCAGGUAAUAAUCACAACACAUUAAUAUGUUUAAACAAAAUCAUCUCUACAUAUAUUUAUAAUCUCGUUUUCUUUUGUAGACAAAGAAGAACUUUACCAGCCCAGAAGGGAGGGACACCACAUAAGAGGAUAUACAACAUGACACCAAUACUCCAAAUAUCAGCUUCAGGUCCAUACUUCCUCUUCAAAACCUCAGGCGCUAUGUAAUAAGCACUACCCACAAUAUCCUUAAACACCUCUCCGGGCUUGUAGAAAACAGACAACCCAAAGUCAGUGGCCUUGAGAGGAGCCUUCUCGUCUUUGCUGAGCAACAAAAAGUUCUCAGGCUUCAAAUCCCUAUGAAUAACCCCCAUGGAAUGACAAGUAUGCACAAUCUGAACAAUGGUUCUCAACAAGGAAGCAGCAGCUCUCUCCGAGUAAUGUCCCUUAGCAAUAAUCCUGUCGAACAGCUCUCCACCAGCGCAAAGCUCCAUGACCAAAUGCACAGAGUGCUUAUCCUCAUAAGCUCCUUUAAGCUCCACAAUGUUAGGCUGACCAGUCAGGUGAUGCAUUAUCUGCACUUCCCUUCUUACGUCCUCAAUGUCUUCUUUGUUCACAAGCUUCCUUUUGGCAAUGGUCUUGCAAGCGAACUGCUGACCUGUCGCCUUCUGCGUGCAGAGAUGCGUGACGCCGAACUGGCCUCGGCCUAGCUCUUUGCCUAGAGAGUAUGAGGAUUUUACAUCUUCCAUGGGACGGCCUAAGACGGGUCCUAUGGGGCCUUGUUUUGUUGCGGGAGGAGGAGAAGGUUUGACAUAUGGCAGCUUGAGGGAGAAGCCACUUCCCGGGCUAUUCGUUUGGCUCGUUUUGUUAACACGCCUCUCUAUGUUGUUCAUGUGAUGAGUGUUGACGCAAUGGAUGAGAUUGCUAAAGCUCGAAAAGCAGGUUCUCUUUUCCUUUUUUCUUUUUCUCUGCUCCUUGUAUGGAACAACCAUUAGUGUAACAUAUAGGUUGAUUUCUAGAGUCCUUGUCAAAAGAUAAAGAGUUACCUUUUUUCUAUAAAUGUAUUUCAGGGCAGAAGGUUAUUGGAGAGCCUGUGGUGUCCGGAUUAAUCCUCGAUGACCACUGGCUUUGGGAUCCUGACUUCACAAUUGCAUCCAAGUAAGAAAAUUCUCUCAGCUCUGCUGUUCAAAGAGGUUCCCAUGUAUUCUUUCAGGUUUUGAAGUUUUUUUUUCUCUCAAUAUUUGAGGUAUGUUAUGAGUCCACCAAUUAGACCAGUAGGCCAUGGAAAAGCCCUUCAAGAUGCCCUAUCAACAGGAAUCCUUCAGGUUUGUUUCCUUGAUAUGCGUUAAGUAGAGAAACAUGAGCUAUAGGAACUGAUCACUGCACUUUCUUGGCAUUAUCUCUGCAGCUUGUAGGAACUGAUCACUGCACAUUCAAUUCUACACAAAAAGCUCUGGGACUUGAUGAUUUCCGCAAAAUACCUAAUGGUGUUAAUGGUAUAAUCUUGUUCUCUGCGCUCAUUUGUCUCUGCUUCUGUGCUAAUCUAUUCGGAUUUAUAAAAAUACUUUGGACUUGUCCAUGUUUAGGCCUUGAAGAACGGAUGCACCUGACAUGGGACACGAUGGUGGUAAGUACUCACUCAUCAGCUAAAAUCUUCUUUCUUUACAUGUGUUUUUAAUCGGUUUAUUAUAUCAUAAUCCAGGGGUCUGGCCAAAUCUCUGCUACUGAUUUUGUUAGAAUAACCAGCACAGAGUGGUACGUUUGCCAUUAAUCACUGGUUUUCUUGAUAUCGAUGAUAUGCUUUUUGAUUUCAUUUUAUUGACUAAUGAGUUUGAUUAUCAGCGCUAAAAUUUUCAACAUAUAUCCACGGAAAGGAGCUAUCCUUCCUGGCUCGGAUGCAGACAUCAUUAUACUGAAUCCAAACUCAAGCUACGAGAUUACCUCAAAGUCUCAUCAUUCAAGAUCCGACACUAAUGUCUAUGAAGGCAGAAGAGGACAGGUAAUAUAUGGAUUUUGCAAAGCCUCCUCUUGACUGAUAUGUACAAAACAAAAGUUUCUGAUGAUGACAACAUUUUUGUUCUCAGGGAAAAGUUGAAGUGACAAUAGCGGGAGGACGAAUCGUAUGGGAAAACGAUGAGCUUAAAGUUGUUCCAGGAAGUGGAAAGUAUGUAGAGAUGCCUCCUUUCAGCUACCUUUUCGAUGGGAUUGAGAAAUCUGAUGCUAACUAUCUCUCUUCUCUCCGAGCUCCGGUGAAACGUGUCAGGUCUGAAGCUACUACUUAAGUUGCAAGUAUCACCAUCUGCAAAUUCCUCAUUUGAUUCUAUAUAAGAAUAGUUGUACAUAACAUUACUUUUUUCAACAAGAUCUGAAGAGCGAUUAUGUAUAAAAUCUGUUCUCUACUCCAGUUUUUUGUUUCUUAGUUUGUUUGAGCCUUGGUCUCUGUUCUCUAUCUCAAGAACAGAUACCAAGAUCAAAAGAAAGAUUAUGAAUAAAAGCUGUUCUAUACUCUAGAAUUGAUAAUAUUGUGUUGUAGCAUGUACUCUUCACUCUCCAACACAACGCUCAAAAGCAUCCAAAUCACAAACUUCAUUUCUAAUGGGCCUUUUAAUUGGGCUUAUAACUAUUAGACUAAUUAGUUUCAACACCGUCAAUAACUGGAUCUAAAAGACGGGUUUACCCUUUACUUUAUCCGUCUAUAUAUACAGAACAUCAUCGAAACCGCAAGUACUAGAAAUUUAUUUUCCGACAGAAGAAGAUUUAUCUGUGCGACGGUAAUAACAAAUCUCCGGCGACAAGGAGAAGCAGGAGAUAGAGAGCUAUGACGACAGUCAGUCUCCGCAAGCAAAACACGAGGCUCCCACCAGAAGUAAACCGCGUGCUCUACGUCCGCAACCUCCCCUUCAACAUAACGAGCGAGGAGAUGUACGACAUCUUCGGCAAGUACGGCGCGAUCCGCCAGAUUCGGAUCGGAUGCAACAAGGACACGAAAGGCACGGCCUUCGUCGUCUACGAGGACAUCUACGACGCGAAACAAGCCGUGGACCAUCUCUCCGGGUUCAACGUCGCGAACCGGUACCUGAUCGUGCUCUACUACCAGCACGCGAAGAUGAGCAAGAAGUUCGACCAGAAGAAGAGCGAGGAAGAGGUCGCCAAGCUGCAGGAGAAGUACGGUGUCUCCACCAAAGAUAAGUAAACACGUGUGUACUCGAUUCGAUUCUGCGAUUUAGGGUUUCAAUUGGGGAAAAAAAAAUCGAACCUUUUUUGCUUAAUCUUGGUAUGUAUGUUUGAACCAUUCAAUGAAAAAUUCCUCUUUUCAGCUCCAUGUAGCUAUUAAUGUUACAAAGUGUUGUGCUUUGAUGCAGUUGAUGAUCUGGACUGGUUAGUGUUUUGCUAAGAGGUUUAGUGUUCUGCGAUUUAGGGUUUCAAUUGGGGAAAAAAAUCGAACCUUUUUGCUUAAUCUUGGUAUGUAUGUUGAACCAAUCAAUGAAAAAUACCUUUUUUAGUUCCAAUUAGCUAUUGAUGUUACAAAGUAUUGUGCUUUGAUGCAGUUGAUGAUCUUGUAUUCAGCUUUGUAUCUUUGUUCAGGAGUGGUUAGUGUUUUUGCUAAGAGGUUAAGAACAUGUAUCACUAACACAUACAAUAGAAUUGAAAAAGAAUCUCUUAAGUACAUUAAGAAACCAGAAAAUAUAAAUGUACAAUAAAUCAAACACCUUCCCCCCAAAUCCUCAAUUAAUGAUUUUUUUUUCUCCCUGCUUGAGCCUUCUCAUCUCUUAAACGAUGUCCUCCUGUUUCAAUCAUUAGUAAUCCGAGCAUGCUUUUAAUUUUUGAUUGCCUCAUUGUUAAAAGGAAGAUGAUUUUUCUCUCGACUCAUGUUCUGCUCUCUUUUUGAUAUCUUCUCUCUUCCUCUCUACUUUCAACGUUUGGUGGUGUCAUUUAAACGAAAGGUCACGCCGCUUCUUUGGGAUAGGAUCAGGGUUUCCUUUUCUCAUCAUUGCCACGAACUCGUCGUAGUUUAUCCGACCAUCCUGCAUCAGAGAUUUUGGUUAUGUUAAUAAUGAGGUUGUUAGAUGCUUUGUUUCGGUUUGAAGGGGGAGUGUUGUUUUCUUACAUUGUCUCCAUCGACCUCUGAAAUUAUCUCUUUAAUGUCUCUGCCAUCGUUCAUCCCAAACUCCCGGAGGGCUUGUUCCAGCUCUUCCAUAGUAAUAUAUCUGGGAUCAACAAGCAUCAUUUGAGGUGUUCAUUUGGAUUCAUAGCAAGCUUUGUACUUCUGUCUUUGGUGUUUGAAGUAUGUUAAGAAUCAUUUAUAUACAGUGCUUACCCGCUGUUGUCUUUGUCAAAGUGUUGGAAGGCUGAGUAGAGAUGUUCUUCUCUGUCAAGUCUGUUGAUAUGCAUUGUGGCUGCGAUAAACUCACCAUAGUCUAUUGUUCCAUUACCAUCAGCAUCAGCCUGUUCCAUCAAGAGUAAAAACAGAAAACUAGUGGUGAGUCUGCUUCCUUGUUGCCAGCAUAUGACAGAGGGUAAAAUUGUUGUUAGUAAGCAAAGGGCUUACAGCUUCCAUUAGUUGCUGGACUUCGUACUCUGACAACCUUGUACCUUGCUUAGCGAGUCCCUGUCUUAGCUCCUCGAGUGUAAUCGUUCCACUGUUGUCAGUGUCCAUACCUUUAAACAUCUCCUUCAACCCCAUGAUCUCUUCCUCUGAUAAGCAGCCUGCUAUCACCCUCAAUGCAACUUUCUUGAAAUUGUUCAUUGCUUUGAAUUGCUUGAGCCUGGACAUCACCGCAUUGUCAAGAGGAACAUCUGGUGCUUCUCCAUCUUCCUUGAUCCAUGGAUGAUCUUAACAAAAGAGAGAGAAAACAUUAAUUAUCAUGGAAAGGGAUUGUUAUACUUUAUUGGUGUGUUUUGUAGAUGCUUACUGAGAACUUGAGCAGCAGUUAGUCUUUGCUUGGGAUCAGAGUUGAGCAUCUUCUUAACAAGAUCCUUCGCCUGAGGUGAGAUGGAUGGCCAUGGAUCACUUGAGAAAUCAACAUGGCUCUUUAAGAUGGCGUUGAAUAUCCCAUUCUCCGAUUCUAUAAUCAUCAGGUAAUAAUCACAACACAUUAAUAUAUUUAAACAAAUUUUUUUUAUUUGUGGAAAAAUGAAGAAAGUGGAAAUGAUCUUGACCAGCCCAAAAGGGAGGGACACCACAUAAGAGGAUAUACAACAUGACACCAAUACUCCAAAUAUCAGCUUCUGGUCCAUACUUCCUUUUCAAAACCUCAGGCGCUAUGUAAUAAGCACUACCCACAAUAUCCUUAAACACCUCUCCCGGCUUGUAGAAUACAGACAGCCCAAAGUCAGUGGCCUUGAGAGGAGCCUUCUCAUCUUUGCUGAGCAACAAAAAGUUCUCAGGCUUCAAGUCCCUGUGAAUAACCCCCAUGGAAUGACAAGUAUGCACAAUCUGAACAAUAGUUCUCAACAAGGAAGCAGCUGCUCUCUCCGAGUAAUGUCCUUUAGCAAUAAUCCUAUCGAACAGCUCUCCACCAGCGCAAAGCUCCAUGACCAAAUGCACAGAAUGCUUAUCCUCAUACGCUCCUUUAAGCUCCACAAUGUUAGGCUGACCAGUCAGGUGAUGCAUUAUCUGCACUUCCCUUCUUACAUCCUCGAUGUCUUCUUUGUUCACAAGCUUCCUUUUGGCAAUGGUCUUGCAAGCGAACUGCUGACCUGUCGCCUUCUGAGUGCAGAGAUGCGUGACGCCGAACUGUCCUCGGCCUAGCUCUUUGCCUAGAGAGUAUGAGGAUUUUACAUCUUCCAUGGGACGGCCUAAGACAGGUCCUAUGGGGCCUUGUUUGGUUGCGGGAGGAGGAGAAGGAGGGGCGUGUUUGGAUUGUGGCACGGAGGCUUCGGCAGUUGGACCAGCGUUUGAAGCGGUUAUGCCGCGCGUGUCUCCGUUGUCGCCUGAGUCACGUCCGUUAGAGCAGCAGUUUCCCAUUGUUGCAUUAAAGGGUGAUGAGAGGAGAGGAAGGAGGUGAAAGCUCAAGGAGGAAGAGAAAUGAAAGGUUUUUUUGUGUGUGUUUAUUCUCUUAUUCUUCCUCUGGUUUGUUGUUUCUUCUUUAGCAAGAAAAGUUUUGGUGUUUUGGUUGUGAAUGGCUAUCAAUAGAAUGUUUUUUUCUUCUUCUUUUCGCUGGCCUUCGGUUACAGGGUUUGUUGAUAGGGAGGAAGUUUAGGACCGAAGCUUAGUCUAAUUUUGUUAUUUAAGAGUAAACAUUUAAGAUUUUAAGACAAAGGUCGAGAGCCUUUUUUGGGGAUGAUAAUAUUUUGUUACAAACCUGUCUCAGCUGUCUGUUACUACUAUCGACAAGGAAAAAUGAACGUAUUAUUUUUGACAUUUAUUAAUAUUCUAAACAAUUAUGAGGAUUUAUAGCUUUUUCUUCCUUAUGCUUAGCUAUCUGAUAUCGAAUUGUUGUUAAACUGAAUCGUUGUUUUUGUAAUGGUUUUUGUUGUUUCAUCUUAAUUCUCAAAGUGGGCUCUUUUCCAGACACUUUCAUCUUUAAUAUCUUUGAUCAUUUCUAUAAUAAAAAGAGCUUCUUCUUCCUAACAACACCCCUGAGUAAUUGUAUCCAUAUCACAAUGGAAUUAAUCCUUUAAUAAAAAGAUAAGUUAAUAAAUUGGUCUAUAUAUAUGAAAUAGAUAUCAAUUUUUUUGGGUCAAAACGAAAUAUAAAUUAUUAUAACAAAGAGAAUGACAGUGAAAUUUUGCAAAAAACAUUGGUUAAAAUAUGCUGUUGACGUCCUAUGUCAAUUGUUUAAACAUUAUCUGCCAGAUCAUUUUUUGGUAACGUGUGAAUUUGCUUUCUCAAUAUGUCAUAUAAUCCAAUUCAGCAAAUGAGUUUUUUUAUUCCUUCAUAUUAUCUUAGAAGUUACAUUUCAUCCCUAUGUUUUUUUUAUGGUAUUUCUUUUCGUUUGCUAAUAGCAACGUAGCAAAUUGUUUCUAAGUUUAAUUAGAAAUAGAAUUAUGAAUUUUGGUAAUUAAUGAUCGAAUAAAAGAAAAAGAGACAAAGGACACGGUGGCAAAUGAAGGAGAAAAGCUUCUGAAUAUCAAUUUGAAUAAAAAGUAAAACAGGGAAAGAAAAGAGCCACACGUCAACAAGAGCGAGUGUCCAAAGUUCCGUUGAUUUGGCUUCUGUGUUCUCAUCGACGCGAUGAGCAGCGGCGGGAGGAACUUCCCAUCGAGAGGUCAUCCAUUUCGCCGGCCGCCGCGUUCCGCCACCAAACCGCAACGUCCGUCUUCGCUCUUGGCGCGGAAGCGGGAAUUGAAGUUGAACGGAGGAUCUCCUUCCUUUAUCAGGUUUCCUCGUCGUAUCAAAUGCUCCUCCUUCGAUGCUUGUUCUUCUACAGCAGAUGGCGCAGCUGGUUACCGUCGAUUAUCAUCUCCCUCCGGUUCCCAUUCCGAAGAUAUUGCUUGCGUUGUCGAUGUUGAUUAUCGAUCAUCGGUUUCCUCCUCUUCUCCCGCCGCCGUUGCUGAUUGUUCCGUCGCUGGUUACCGUCGAUCAUCAACUCCCUCCGGUUCCGAGCCGGGCGAUGUUACAUCUGUUGUUGAUAACCUCGAUGCUAAUUAUCGAUUAUCCUCCCCCUCUUCUCCUGCCGCCGUUGCUGAUUCUCAGUUGAAAUACGAUGUGUUUAUCAGUUUCCGAGGAAAAGAUUCUCGUGACGGUUUCGUGAGCCACCUCUACGACGAUCUGUGCCGAGAAGGCACUGAAACUUUUAUAGACAGUGAAAAGCUAUAUGCAGGCGAAGAGAUCAAGACGGCGUUAACCGAUGCGAUUGAGCGAUCGAGUAUCUCGGUGGUGGUUUUUACCAAGGAAUACGCCUCGUCCAAGUGGUGUUUGAGAGAGCUUGCAAAGAUAAUGGAGUGUAGGAGGAGCAGGGGCCAGCUAGUUUUGCCAGUCUUCCUCGGCGUAGAACCCAUGGAAGUUAGGUGGCAGACGGGAUGCUACGAUGUGGCCUUUGCUAGGCAUGAUAAGGCUCCCGAGGGAUCACCUUUAGCUGAGGAAGUAAAGCUGUGGAGGAAAGCCAUGACUGAGGCAGCCGAUCUCUCUGGAUUUGAUUCUACUGCUGUGAGGUAGGUUUGGAUCCAAAAUGACAUGAUUGGCUCAAAAUUUUAGAUUUUGUCAUGUUCGUUGUUAAUUGCCUUAACUGCUUUGCUUUGCUUUGCUGUUCCUAUGAGUUAGUUUAGUAGCGAGUUAUUUAUUCAGAAAUCAUCAGGUUCAGGUUUUUUCUGAGUCUCUUUUUCAAGUUUCAUUCAAUUCUGCUUAGUUGUAUCUGUGUUGUUCCAUAAAUUCACUCGAAUUGUAUCUCUAGUUUGUCCCCAAACCUUAGAAAACUUGGCCUUUCUCUCUGUGGACGUUCUUUGUUUGACUUGGUGAGCUUGUACACUGAAAUAAACAGUAUUCAUUUGUUUGAUGUUUUUGCGUUUCUAGGCCCGCUUCUAAACUUGUGGACAAAAUUGUUGCACGCAUUUUGGAGAACCUUGAAAGCAAUUGCUUGCGUGAAGAGGAGGGCUUGGUUGGAGCUUAUCCUCAGGUAAAAGAAGUGGAAGAGUUGUUGGAAAAUGGAUCAGAUGAAGUGCAGACUAUAGGAAUACAUGGACUUGGGGGUAGUGGAAAGACCGCCAUUGCUGGUGCCGUUUUUAAUCGUCAACAUCAAAAGUUUGAUAGCUAUUGCUUCCUUGCAAAUGUCAGAGAAGAAUCUGAAAAGCAUGGGCUUCUUGGCUUAAGAAACGAACUACUACGUCAAAUCCUUGGUCAGACUGAUAUAAACAUUCCUACACCUGACAUUGGAUCCAGCAAUAUAAGGAAUCGUCUACGCCGGAAAAGAGUUCUUGUUGUUCUCGACGAUGUUAGCAGCAUAACUCAGCUGGACUUUUUAAUCAAACAAGCGACUUACUAUGGUCCGGGAAGUAGAGUUCUUAUUACAACAAGAGACAUGAAUGUAAUCAAGAAUGCUAGCAAAGUUUAUUCGGUGAAAGGACUAUCUGGCAGUGAUUCGCUUGAACUGUUUUCACGUUGCGCCUUCAAACAGAGCUAUCCUCCUGACGAAUAUUUGCAAUUGUCGAUGAGGGCAGCUGCUUAUGCAAAGGGGCUCCCUUUGGCUUUAGAAGUUCUGGGUUCCUUUCUUUGUAAAAAAACUGUGCUAGAGUGGGAAAGCGCAUUAAGAAGACUCGAAAGUUCUCCUGAGAAAGAAAUCUCGAGAGUACUGCGUAUAGGUUAUGACGGACUCAAUGAUGAAGAGAAAACGAUGUUUCUCGAUAUCGCUUGUUUCUUCAAUGGGGAACAAAGAAGUCGCGUAACUGCUCAUUGGGAUGCUUGUGGUAUAUCUGUGGAUAUUGGGAUACGCGCACUUCUUGAUAAGUGUAUGAUUACCUUAUCUGAUGAUAGGCUGCAUAUGCAUGAACUGUUUCAAGAAAUGGGUAGAGAAAUUGUACGGCAGGAGUCACCUCUGGAUCCCGGUAAACGCAGCAGGCUGUGGAGCUCUGAGGAUGGCCACGAAGUCUUAACAGAAAAUACGGUAAUUGCUUUAACUAAGAUGUUUCUCCUGCAUAUGAAUCUGGUUAUAUCUAAGGAGUUUUAAAAAUUUACAAAAGAAAUUUAUGAGCAUUGCAUGCAUUUUAACUUCUCUCAUAUCAUCAGGGAACUAUAUCAACUGAAGGCAUAUGCCUGGACAUUUCUGAAAUAGAAGAGAUGCAGAUCGGCCGUCAUGCUUUUGCAGGGAUGCCUAAUCUGAGGUCUCUGAAAAUCAAUUCUCACAGUCGGUUUAAUGAAGAAAAUUGCAAAAUCUAUCUUCCGGAAGGCCUUGAAGAUUUCCCUCAUAAACUGCGUCUACUUCAAUGGGAGUACUAUCCUUUAGAAAAUCUUCCAUCAAGCUUUAAACCAAAUCACCUGGUUGAACUUAUAAUGCCCAAAAGCAAACUUGAGCGUUUGUGGGAAGGGGUACAGGUAAUUUGUAUACUAUGCAAUUUGGUUUCUGUAACGGAGUUGCAUCAAAAAACUUAGCUAUCUACUAAUUCGGACCCCUUGUUUGCAGCAUCUACCUUGUUUAAAAGUGAUUGAUGUCAGCAACUCCCCGUUCCUGAAGGAGUUUCCAGACGUGUCAAAUGCUCCCAGGCUUGAACUUAUUGUUGCCAGAGGAUGUGGAGAUUUAGUGACCAUUCCAACUCCAAAAAAGAAGUUGAAAUCUCUUGAGCACUUGGAUCUUUGUGGAUGCUCAAAGAUAACAGUUUUUCCAGAGAUUUCAUGGAAUAUCAAAACGUUGUCACUGGCUGAUACUGGAAUAGAGGAAAUUCCACCAUCAAUUGAAA